UACGAAGGGGGCUAGCGUUGCUCGGAAUCACUGGGCGUAAAGCGCACGUAGGCGGACUCUUAAGUCGGGGGUGAAAUCCUGGAGCUCAACUCCAGAACUGCCUUUGAUACUGAAGAUCUUGAGUUCGGGAGAGGUGAGUGGAACUCCGAGUGUAGAGGUGAAAUUCGUAGAUAUUCGGAAGAACACCAGUGGCGAAGGCGGCUCACUGGCCCGGUACGGACGCUGAGGUGCGAAAGCGUGGGGAGCAAACAGG
rnacentral:rRNA from 1 species